UAACUGAAGUCGUAGCCAAGGAUGGAUUAGU
rnacentral:piRNA from 1 species